rnacentral:lncRNA from 1 species
ACUCCACGGACUUAACCUCUCUUAACCUCCUAUGAAUCUUCGCCGCUACCCUCCGGGUUGUCCACGCCCUCACGUCCGAAUCCACGAACGCCUCCACUUCGAAUCCACGAAGCUUCAAUCACGCCGAAUCCACGACGCCACUCGAAUCCACGAGCCCACGAUCCGAAUCCACGAACCGCCGUCAAAUACGCCGAAUCCACGACGCCACCAUGAAGAAUAUCAUGAAUAUGGUGAUCCUUCGCUUUGGAGUAUCGUAGAAAACCAGGGAAUAGAACUCCAAGCGAAGCGGAGAUCAAAUCGACAUAUUAAUAUCAAGUUUCAAUAUCUCGAUUUGAUCUAAAAGAGGCUUUUUGUAGAAAAUAGGUUUUAGAUGAAAUCCGAGCCUCUAGGGUUUCUCAAAUAUGUAUUUUCAAGAUGCUUGAUAUGUUAGAGAAGCCCAAUAGCUUAUUUAUAGACUUUAGAAUCAAUUGAAGUCGGAUUAGAAAGUUUUCACGAUUUUACACUGUGUACCGGUACACUUUAGGCUGUCACCGGUUACACGAUGACGGAACGAAAAACCAGACGAAACAGUGAAACCGGUUACACCCUUGAUGGUCGUACCGGUACACAUUUUGUACCGGUACACUUCUGAUGCUGUACCGGUACACUUUGCAAAUUUUCGCCGUUUCGGGUUUUACAAAGUUCCGAUGCACUUUCUAAUCCGUUAGACAUUGAUAACAUGAUUCUAAUGUCUAUAACUAAGUAUGAAUCACCAUAACAUGAAUUUACACUUUACCUGAGCAUCGUGAUUCACGUCGUGGGAUGUUUUCUGACUUCUUCGAAAUCUUGAAUUUUUCGAUCUUCGACGAUACGCACUGGUUCUUCAAGACUCCGACUCACUUCACGAAACUUGCCAAUACACAAGACUUAACAAUCUCCCCCUUUGGCAAUUUCGUGAAAAAACACUCACCAAUUCAAAAAUUACAAUUUACAGAAAAAUGAAGUUCAAUUGUCAUCACCAAAACAUUGAACUCCUCGCGUGUAAUCCAAAUACAAUUUGAAACUCAAACUUACAUCAAGAACUCCUAAAACAGACUCUAUGACUUAGACACAACUAGGAGUCUUGAAGUCUUGAUUUCCUGCAAAACAAUUCAUUCAAAAACAUUCAAAAAUGAUUACCCUUAAAUUCUUAUACCUUCUCCCCCUUUUGUUCUUCACAUCUCGAUCACAUCUCCCCCUUUGUUCUUGAACUCAUCAUCCUCUGCUUAGUUCAUUGCCUGUUGUCAUCCAUGCUCUCCCCCUGUUCUACGUUCUCCCCCUUUUUGUCAAAAAUUGCCAAAAGAAAGCAAAUAGAGAGAGAAAACAUACUAGAAAGCAUAAAAGAAGUCUAGUCAUAGGUACAGGCCUAAAAUAAAAACAUGCCAAAGAAAGAUAAGCAAGCAAGUCUAAAACAUCAUCCUAGAAAGUAAGCAUAAUAAAGUAACAAGACAAAGCCCGAGGAAGACAUCACUCCGUGUCCUCGUCGUCAUCAUCAUCAUCAUCAUCAUCUCCUGCUCCAGCUCCAGAUCCCCCAGCCUCAGGAGCAUCACCAGACGGUGGAAUGAGUGGAUGUCGUGAAGUCGAUCUGGUAUAAGUAGUGUNCCAAAAGAGAGCUAAAUCCCUUCCAAUCCAAUCCAAAGAAGGGUUCUAAUCCAAAUAAUUUAGCUCCAAAAGCCCUAGAAUCAAAAUGCCCAAAAUAAGCCCUAAAUCUCCAAUCUAGGGCUUCAUCUUGAAUCCAUCAAUAAAACUCGAAUCGAGAGGGAGAGAAUAAGUAGAUUAUCUCUUAGAAGUUACAAUCCAACCUCUAAACUCUCUAAACGCCAAGAUCUCCCCCCAACAAUGCUCCAAAUCCAAGCCCUAAGCUGCAACAAUGGUGGAAAUGCCUCCAACAAGCAAAAAGAGAAGUUUAAUCUCUUUAAAACCCAACAAAAAAAGAUCAAAACCAAAGAGAGGCAAGGUGGGGUUUCUCUAACCUAGUCUCCCUGAGUUCUCAGCUCAAAAGAAGCCCUAGGGGGCGUAGGUGCUGAUAUAAGAAGCCCACAAUCGCGAAAAACCCCCUGCAGUUGAAACUGUACGAAAUCAGCCCCUUUGUACUGGUACACGGGCUCUUGUACCGGUACAAGCCCCACGAAAAUCACAACCCGACGCUCGGGUUGGCGGGUUCAGCGGCUCUGUACCUGUACAAGCCCCUGUACCGGUACAACCAUCAACCCUGUACCGGUACAAGGCCUGUUGAAAGCUACCCGAGGGCUAACCAAAAAUCCGAUUUUUCGGGUUUUGGUGCACAGCUUUAAACCUCACCUCUCGGGAUGCGAGCCAUAGGUCGGAACACUGUCUAUGACCUUCCAGAAAGUCUGAAAAAGCUCGACACNUGCUGAAAGCUACCCGAGGACUAACAAAAAAUCCGAUAUUUCGGGUUUUGGUGCACAGCUUUAAACCUCGAUUCUCGGGACGCGAGCCAUAGGUCGGAACACUGUCAACGACCCACCAGAAAGUCUGGAAAUGCUGAGCACACAACUAACCACUCGAACCUCGCAAUUUGCAAAGGUCCAGUGCGUUACAAAAACAAUCAUGUAAUUUUGGUGAAUGGCUAAAUGUAAAGAAUUAUGAAUGAAAGCAAAGAAAUGUAAUAGUUCAGUUUACUAGUAUUUGGUUUAAAUUUAAUCAAAUAUCAUGUAUGUGUAUAUUUUAGCUUAGAGCUUUCGCUUCCGUUGUUGCUUGCCCUCGUGCAAGCCUUGUAUAAUUGCAUAUCCCUUUGUUGAUUGCUUAAUUAUAUUUAUUGUUGGAGCCUUGGGCGGACAGGGGAAAUGCUGUCCGUUCGGCGUCUGUUGACGUGGCCCGAACCCGACCAAAUUGGCGGGGAUUGGGGCGUGACACUUGAGAAGAUGGGAAUGCGCGAUAUGGGUGAUUGGCUUUAGUGCAAGUGGGAGAUUGUUAGUUAUAUGCCCUAUAAGCCAAUCCUGUCAUAACUUAAAGGGUUAAUAUCAGUGUACUUUUCUUUUAUGAUUAAAUCUGGCAUUCUUCAUUCAUAUUAUUGCCAAAUGCAUAUUUAUGAAUCGUUCAUAGAAUUAAUAGUAGAAGAAUUAACUUUCUGAGUUAGAAAUUUGAGACAUAUAUUCUUCUGUAAUUAAUUCUUAAAUGCUCUCGAUCAUAGGAUUAUCAUGAGGGCGGUGGUAAAUCCGGAUAUAUUAGUGCAUGCUAUACUUCCUUUAUGAGAUGACGAGUCUCAAGUCAUUAGUGUUGAAAGUUUUGAGGAGCCCGAGGAUCUAUCUAGAUUGUAUCUAUCACCUAGAGGGGGGUGAAUAGGUGUAACGGCCAAAAACCACAAAUCUCGAUGCAAUAAAAAUAGAUGUGGAAAAUAAAAAGCACACCGAGAUUUACGUGGGAAAACUCCAACUUGGAGAAAAACCUACGGGACCAACACGCGAAAAAAUAAUUCACUAAGAGAAAAGAUUACAAGGUGAUUACCGACUCCACGGACUUAACCUCUCUUAACCUCCUAUGAAUCUUCGCGCUACCCUCUGGGUUAUCCACGCCCUCACGUCCGAAUCCACGAACACCUUCACUUCGAAUCCACGAAGCUUCAAUCACGCCGAAUCCACGACGCCACUCGAAUCCAUGAGCCCACGAUCCGAAUCCACGAACCGCCAUCAAAUACACCGAAUCCACAACGCCACCAUGAAGA